GCCUACUUCCUGGAUCCCAUAAGCACCCCUCUGGAAUUUUCAAUCCAUCCAUUCCUUCUCUGCUCAAUCCAGUAGAAAAAAUCUCCCUGUGUGAUCAGCAGCACUUCUUGGUCAUCAGUCCUACAUACAGUGGCUCCCUUCAUUAGAAGUCUUUCAGAAUUGGAAGUGUUGAGGUUUCAGAUGGCUGGAAAAUACUGCUUCUUGACAUUCAAGGCUCAAUUUCAUUGGAAGAAAAACUGCUAAAGCAUUGGAGAAAAUUUGUUGCUUUCUUUUGGAAGUAAGAGGAGGAAGGGAUGAUGACGGAAAUCUUUUCUGUUCACAGAAUUUGGUGCAUUGGACUUGGACCCUGAAUAGUUCAACAGGUGAGAAACUGCCUCAAAAUUCACAUGAGAAAGAGCUACAGUCCCUGAUAUUGGAUAGAUUUUCAUCUCCUGAUCUACAUUCAAAAGGGAAAGAAUUUGAAGACACAGAGCAAGUCUUUAUUCAAGUGCCGUCUAUAGAUUAACAGCUGUCUUAGAUCACUUGACUGUACAGAGGGAAAGAAACAGGGAAAUGGGUUUGUGUUCAGUCCAGAGCGAGCUGACUUUCAAAGGUCAGAGGGACACCUGACCUUAAGACUUCACUAGAGGUAUAUGAAGCACACUUUUAGCCAGAUACUAUCAAUCAUGUAGCUUCUUGUUUUUGUUAAUAAGUCUAGUCUUGGGAUCAGGAUGGGGGGAAAGCAAAAAUAUUUAAAGUUCAGAAUGCAAUUAGUUUAACAAGAUUGACAUAAAUUUCUUUAAAAAAAAAAAAACAUACAUCCUGAGUUUUAAUCAAUAAUUUUGUUAAGUAUAUUUUAUUUGGAAGCUAAAUAAAACUAUUGAGGGGUGUGUGAUUUUUUUUUCCUUUCAAAAAGACCUAGAAAGAGG